AAUGAACGCUGGCGGCGUGCUUAACACAUGCAAGUCGUACGAGAACUCUUCUGCUUGCAGAAGAUAGUAAAGUGGCGCACGGGUGAGUAACGCGUGGGUAAUCUACCUCCGAAUCGGGGAUAACCCGCCGAAAGGCGAGCUAAUACCGGAUAAUAUCUUUAGAACUUCGGUUUUAAAGAUCAAAGAUGGUCUCUACAUGUAAGCUACUGUUUGGAGAUGAGCCCGCGUACCAUUAGCUUGUUGGUAGGGUAAUGGCCUACCAAGGCCGCGAUGGUUAGCUGGUCUGAGAGGAUGAUCAGCCACACUGGAACUGACACACGGUCCAGACUCCUACGGGAGGCAGCAGUGAGGAAUUUUGCGCAAUGGGGGAAACCCUGACGCAGCAACGCCGCGUGAGUGAUGAAGGCUUUCGGGUCGUAAAGCUCUGUCAAGUGGGAAGAACCUGUUAGAUACUAAUACCAUCUAGCACUGACAGUACCACUAAAGGAAGCACCGGCUAACUCCGUGCCAGCAGCCGCGGUAAUACGGGGGGUGCAAGCGUUAUUCGGAAUUAUUGGGCGUAAAGGGCGCGUAGGCGGUCUCUAAAGUCAGAUGUGAAAGCCCGGGGCUUAACCCCGGAAGUGCAUUUGAAACUUAGGGAC
rnacentral:rRNA from 1 species